UAGUUAAGGCAGGCAUGGGAGGGAGAGGCCUAUAAAUUCAUUGUCUAUCAUGAACAAAAGUGUUGCACUGCAAUAACACAUAAUUCUCUUAUAUUAUCUUUUUUCAUAUUAGUAGUAUACUAUCGCUGAAUAUUAUUAUAAAUGGCUCGCAGUUAUGCCUUCUAUUUUAUUGUUGCGCUCAUGGUGAUGUCUGUGUAUAUGGCUCAAUCUCCAAAAGUAAAAAAUAGCCGCUGCGAGAGACAUGUCGAUUAUGAAUGGAAUAUUAACUGGUGAUUCCUUGACUGCUUGUGGUGGAUAUUGCCGAGUAAACAGAGACUGCUCUAGGUCGUGCCCCUAUUGUUACUACGAUGUUAUUCAACAUACCUACGGCUGCCAUAUUUGAAGGAUCGAUCAUUCAUGGCCAACACAAUCUCUUUGUGGUUUAAUUUGAUGGUCUUUGAUUUUGUGUUUUCCUUUUCCAAUUUCAGUAUUUAUGUGAAAAAAAUAAAACGACCAAGUGAUCUACUUCUACCUAGAUCAUGAUAAUGUCCCAUGUAACAUAAAGAUGGGUUGUGUUUGCUUAUAUAUGUACUUUUAAUUUUGAAUGAAUAAAACUGUGUGAUCCGUUUGCUUAUCAAAA